rnacentral:rRNA from 1 species
UAACAAUACAACAUUGAGGCUGAUAACAAACAAGUCCCCUGAGGGAAAUAUGAAAAGGACUUUGGAAAGAGAAUUAAAAGAGUUUGCAUUUGCUUGGCAUAAAACAAAUUAAUGUUGUCAUGGCCAAAAGAUUGUUGCAUUUCUGGGUGUGUGCCAACAUUGCUCAGCAAGUGUAAUGCUUCUUUCCCCCCACAAAGCUGUUGCAUUCAUGGAUCAUUCUUGUUUGGUGCUGGCAAUAUGUGUUGCAUAGUGGUGCUCUGUUUGCAUUUCUGAUUUCUGAUGUUAUGCGCACGCCUUUUGAAGCUGGACAGACAUGGCUGGGUGGUUUGUGUAUCUUCUUGGAGGAGUGGCUUGUGUGCUGACAAAGAAGGUUGCUUGACCCGUCUUGAAACACGGACCAAGGAGUCUAACAGACGUGCAAAAGAAUGAUUUAAAAUGUGGCAAAACUGAAAGGAAGAGUUAGCAUGUGUGCUCCAACGGCCAAAUGCUUGGUAGACACGCAUUUGAAUUUGAGCAUGUUUGUUAGGACCCGAAAGAUGGUGAACUAUGCUUGAUCAGAAUGAAUUCAGAGGAAACUCUGACGGAAGUUCGUAUCGAUACUGACGUGCAAA